rnacentral:lncRNA from 1 species
AAGUCCACUUUAAGACAUUUUAUCAUAUAGAGGACACCCAAACAUUUUUACCCACAUAAGUCCAUCCAAGCCUAAAUAAAGGUAUUGAAGUUUAAUUAAAUUAUAGACUGCCAUCCAACAAAAAAAAUUAGAUUUUCUCUCUUAUAUUUACAAAAAUAUCACUAAUGUAAAAAGUCAACAACCACCCUCCUCUCUGGAAAAGUCUCCGGCAGACCUCCGGCGAGGUCUUUGACGGACUCCGGCCGACCUCCGGCGAUGUCUCUAGCCGACUUCCGGCAAGGUUUCCGACGGUUACGAAAGCUACUACCGCUAGCAAGAAAAGCUAUUAUCCUUAGCUAGAAACCGACUACAAAAGCUACUACCGUCAGCAAGAAAAACUACUACCGCCAGCAAAAAAACCUACUACCGCUAGCAACAAAAGCUACUAUCCCUAGCUAGAAAAGCUACUACCACCGACUACAAAAGCUAUUAUCGCCAGCAACAAAAGCUAUUAUCUCUAGCUACAAAAGUUACUACAGUCAACAACAAAAGCUACUACCGCCACCAACAAAAGCUACUACUGUCACCAACAAAAACUACUACCGAUAUAAACAAAAGCUACUACCCCUAUAAACAAAAGCGACUGCCACCAAAAAGCUACUACCGAGAUAAACAAAAGCUACUACCAACAUAAACAAAAGUUACUACCGCCAUAAACAAAAGCUACUACCAACAUAAAAAAAGCUAUUAUCACCGUCAACAAAAGCUACUACGAACCGUCACCUACAAAAGCUACUACCGCCA